ensembl:snoRNA
AGCUUUUGUAGUUUCUAAGCGUGAUGAUUGGGUUUUGAGAGGUGCCUCCCUCAAACCCUGAAGACACUGUCAUCAGCACAUUACCUGUCUGAGG